UCCUGGGCGGGAGGCGUCGACGCGCGGUCCAUCCAUCAGCCACGGUCGCCCCCCUGACCGCGCCGAGCCACUGGCGAGCCCGGCCCGCCCGGCU
rnacentral:ncRNA from 1 species